AGAGUUUGAUCAUGGCUCAGAUUCAACGCUGGCGGCAUGCUUAAUACAUGCAAGUCGAACGGUAACAGAUUCUUCGGAAUGCUGACGAGUGGCGGACGGGUGAGUAAUACAUAGGAAUCUGCCCAUGUAGUGGGGGACAACUUGGGGAAACUCAAGCUAAUACCGCAUAAUUCCUACGGGAUAAAGAGGGCCACUGCUUGCAAGCUCUUGCUACUGGAUGAGCCUAUGUCGGAUUAGUUAGUUGGUAAGGUAAUGGCUUCCCAAGACAGCGAUCCGUAGCUGGUUUGAGAGGAUGAUCAGCCACACUGGGACUGAGACACGGCCCAGACUCCUACGGGAGGCAGCAGUAGGGAGUAUUGGACAAUGGGCGCAAGCCUGAUCCAGCAAUGCCGCGUGUGUGAAGAAGGCCUGCGGGUUGUAAAGCACUUUCAAUUGGGAAGAAAGAUUAUGAGUUAAUACCUUAUAAUAUUGACG
rnacentral:rRNA from 1 species